GUCAGUCAUGUUUUUCCAUAGGAGAAGAGAGGAGGACAGACUUGAAUAGUCAACUGAAGGGGGGGGAAAGAAAAACCCAGUGUAUUUGACAGCUAUAGUUUAAUCCAAUGAAAACAGGUGGCCUCUUCAUUCAGACAAACCCUCCAUUGGGACAACCGGGCUUCAGAAUGCCCAUAGGUCUGACAUCAACCAACAAGGAAGUGUUUGUGAUCAGAUGGCUGAAAUAUUCAAGACUAGAGAAGAGAAGUAACUCUCAUUCGGUUCCUUUCCAGGUUCUUCCUCUGUCCAUUUCCAGGCUCCUCUUCUCCCCUCUCUCUGUCUACUCCUGGCUGGUCUCUGUGAUGGUUAAACUCGUCUUCUCCUCUCUGGCCAUCAUCCUGUCUUCUCUGUAUUACACUGUCCUGCUCCUGCUGGCCGGGCCCUGCUGUAUCGUCACCUUGUCUCUGUCUGUGGUAUUGUACUGUCUCCAUGUAGUUAUCUAUAUGGUUCACCUGGUGUUGGUGCUCUGUGCUCUGGCAGUGCUCGCUAUGACUCCACACAAAAUGGCUGACGUGAAUGGACCUAAAAUGGCCGCCGGUGCCACUGCUAAUGAACAAACGUUCUACGGCCAACUGAAACUGCAGCUCCAGGAUUCGGACAGAUCUGGGAUCAGUGUUGGG
rnacentral:lncRNA from 1 species